AGGGCUGCUGCCGUUGCUGAACACAAACGGGGCUCGGAGCAGGCCAAACUCCAAGGUGGACCGGGCAACGGAUCGUGGAGAGGCGCCCAAGGAUUUUUUUUGCUUAUGUUGAUUGUGCCAUCCAAUUGGUUUAGACUUUUCACCAUUGCUAAUUACUAGGGGAGUAUGGGUGCCAGACCUGAAUGCAUUUCCACAAUAGAGAUGGGAAAUGGGAUACAUCGUUGUCGUCCUUCAGUGAGCAGCCGAGGAGGAGCUCCUCCCUGCUGAUGAUGUGGAAGAUAGAUACCCUGUCCGUGAUGCCUGGUUCUGGCCUCAUAUACAUGAGUCUGGAAGUGAUACUUUUGUGAGGAGUGCUGGAACAUGACUGGAUCAAGCGAGACAGAGAACAAUGGAUGAAAGAAAGAUAUCAGAAAAGGGAUUCACUCCUGACCACCUCAUACAUAUAUACAUGUGUAAGAGCUUGUCACCUCAUACAUAUCUCUUGUAGCUAUAUAGGGCUCUUUUCGUAUUCUAGGAAAUUUUAAAAUUAUAUUUUACUAGGGAUGUAAGUAUCAGAUGCUAGAUAUGUGAUCUAGAGAUUUUAGACUUUCAGGAUUCAACCAUCAGUUGUGUUCCUUGAAUAUUUCUUUAUUUUUCUAGGGCAAUCUAUUUUUUUAAUCCUUGAAGCGCCAUUCAGAACAUAUGAUCGUGGUUGUCAAAUUCCUGUGAAAUAUAUACCUUUGA